GGAAAGUCCCUCUUCUCUCUAAUAGGAUGCCUUUUCAUUCUGACUCUAGGGGAAAGAGCCUUUGAGUCACCAGGAUGGCUUCUCUCAGGGAUGUUGUCUGAGCCCUGGACAAUGAAUGUUUCCUGGAUGACAGAAACAGGCACAUGGUUUGGAAUCUCCAACAGCAACAACACUUUGGAAAAAUAGUAGCAAGAAGACAAAAGAUAGCCAUCUCUGGCUUGAAGAUGAUGACUCAUACAGAUGAGUCACAUUUACAAUCAGCGUGGAAAAGAAUCUCAGAACCUUUCGAUGAAGAAAUCAGAGAGCAGUGUGGCUGCUGUACGCAAGUGGAGUGGAAGUGGGGGAAGAUGAAAUAGUCACCCACGAAAACCAGGCAACUUCCAGGCUUUUCCAGUUCAAUUCUGAUGCUCUCUGGCACUGGAGCACAGAGCUCAACACAUGGGAAAAAACACUUCGCAUUGGUGUGAACACCUUGGUGACCUGAGUAAAUUAUGAAUUCCCAAGGCAAAUUAGUGUCAUCAGAGUGACUGUAUAUAGGCUGGGCAAGCAUUCAUCCCCCCCUCCCAAUUAGUGACAGCAUAAAUAACACACAAGCACCAGGCAGAGCCAAAGCUGCUCCCUGAAAGUGGCUUUUUUUGGCAUUAAAACGAUGAGUGUAUUUUCCUUAAGAACCUUCUAGCAACAUGUACAAAUAAAGCCACACACAGUGACAAACUGUGCUGCUUGGAGUUUAGCUGAUGACAUUCUGUUAUUGAAACAGGAAAUGACUCAGCCUCAGCCAGACCAGAGAGGAUCAUAUAUUUUAUUCUGUUUUGUUGGCUCAUUUGGAAAAAAAAAAAGAAAAAAGAAAAAAGAAAAACCAUCACAAGACAACCAUGUUUGUUUUCUAAAUAAUAUAUAUCCUUU